CAAAAUUAUAUAAUAUAAGCCCCCCUCCCCCUCUCUAUCUCUCUUAAGCCCCAAUUUCCAAGGUGCUGGAAAAACUAAGCCCCCCCCCCCCAGGGGCUUAAUAGAGAGUUGAGAAAUUUAGGGCACAUGGUUUUCUUAAAGAAAUGGUGUCAAGCUCUCCAACUGGAUUUCAUCCAUCACUACAAAAUUGUGGUUUUUCCUAACUGC